AUGGACUACAGGACAGGGCUGCUGCUUUUAACUAUCUGCUUUGCAGGUGUUGAUAAUCAGACUCUGACAGAAUCUGAUCCAGCUGUUAAACGACSUGGAGACUCACACAAACUGACCUGUACAGGAUCUGGAUUCACAUUCAGCAGCUACUUGAUGGCUUGGGUCAGACAGGCUCCUGGGAAAGGACCAGAGUGGGUCGCUCAAAUCAGUAGUGGUGGUAGUGGCAAGUACUACUCACAGUCAGUCCAGGGCCGGUUCACCAUCUCCAGAGACAACAGCAAACAGCAGCUGUAUCUGCAGAUGAGCAGCCUGAGAACAGAAGAUUCUGCUGUUUAUUUCUGCGCUCGAGAGGCACAGUGA